GAUGAACGCUGGCGGCGUGCCUAAUACAUGCAAGUCGAGCGAACGGACGAGAAGCUUGCUUCUCUGAUGUUAGCGGCGGACGUGUGUGUAACGCGUGGAUAACCUACCUGUAAGACUGGGAUCACUUGGGGAAACCGGAGCUAACACCGGAUAAUAUUUUGAUCCGCGUGGUUCAAAAGUGAAAUACGGUCUUUCUGUCUCUUCUCGAUGGAUCCCGGCUUCAUUAGCUAGUUGGUAGGGUACCGGCUUACCAAGGCAACGAUGCAUAGCCGACCUGUGAGGGUGAUCGCCCACACGAGAACUGAGACACGGUCAAUGGUACUACGGGAGGCAGCAGUAGGGAAUCGGCCGCAAUGGGCGAAAGCCUUACGGAGCGGCGCCAAGCGUGUGACGAAGGUCCUCGGAUCGUAAAACCCUGUUAUUAGGGAAGAACAGAUGUCUCAGGAAAUGUGCAGAGCGUGACGGUAACUAAUCAGAAAGCAACGGCUAACUACGUG
rnacentral:rRNA from 1 species